UCUGCUACACGAGCGUGCAGUGAAAUGCGUAUUGGAGUUAUACGUCGACUACUGACAACAUUUGACGAGAGAAUAUAGUUCUGAAUUCAAAUUUAGAUUUAGUUUAAUCACAAGCUCAAAGCAAACAUUCUACUGCGGUUGCUCGCUUUCAAUAGAAACGAAUGGACUUUUCAUCAAACAUAUUCAGUCAGGAAAAUGUUUUUAUGAUAAUGGUCAUGAUCCUGGAUUUUUUACUAAUUUGAGGUUUAAAGAGAAUUGUUUUCACUCGGGAGCUCAAUUUAAAUUUGUACAAUCUGGUUCAAUAUUAAAUCUAAACAAACCA